AUUGAACGCUGGCGGCAUGCCUUACACAUGCAAGUCGAACGGUAACGGGCCUUCGGGUGCCGACGAGUGGCGAACGGGUGAGUAAUGUAUCGGAACGUACCUUUCAGUGGGGGAUAACGUAGCGAAAGUUACGCUAAUACCGCAUAUUCUGUGAGCAGGAAAGCAGGGGAUCGCAAGACCUUGCGCUGAUUGAGCGGCCGAUAUCAGAUUAGCUAGUUGGUGAGGUAAAGGCUCACCAAGGCGACGAUCUGUAGCGGGUCUGAGAGGAUGAUCCGCCACACUGGAACUGAGACACGGUCCAGACUCCUACGGGAGGCAGCAGUGGGGAAUUUUGGACAAUGGGGGCAACCCUGAUCCAGCCAUGCCGCGUGAGUGAAGAAGGCCUCGGUUGUAAGU
rnacentral:rRNA from 1 species